ensembl:lncRNA
AUGUCAGCUCACUGCAAUCUCCGCCUCCCGGCGUCAAGCGAUUCUCCUACCUCAGCCUCCCGAGUAGCUGGGACUACAGGAUCAUCAGCUCUGCAGAGUCAUCAUAAAAAACCAUCAGGACAUGAGGUGAUAGCCGGCCAACUUAGCUUUCCUGAGGAUCUUGGCUCCAAGAACAGCACAGCCCUUCCCACACUUACGUUCACUCAUGCUUACACUUUUUAUCUGGAACCUGACUGAGAGUUGCAGAACCAGCCAGGGCCACUCUGUUCCUUAGGAAAUUCUUGUCCUUUUUCUAGUAAACUUCUGUUUGUUUAAUGUGUUCCCUGCAUGACCUCUAGCUCCCUGGCUAAGCCAAAGUAAAAAAUGUCUUUAGCUUUCCUGGUACCAACAUAUCUAGACUACAGGAAGGUGUUGAGUUCUGAUCCCAAAAGUUACAAAUUAUACAUAGGUUUGAAACGAGGUGACCAGGAGGACUGGAUACCUUAGUUUUGAAUUCUGGUCUCUUUCACCUAUGAACAAAUUUCAUCUAUCUGAGCUUCAGUUUUCAGUCUUGAAAAGGAGAUGCCUUUCCUGGGCAUUUGGGAUACAGCAAGACAUAAACAGACCUGAUCCUUCCUUUUCACCAUAGGGACUUCUCUCUAAUGGAAAAGCAGACUGGGUGCAGUGGCUCAUGCCUAUAAUCCUAGCACUUUGGGAGGCCGAGGAAAAUGGAUCACUUGAGCCUAGGAAUUUGAGACAAGCCUGGAAACAAAGUGAGAACCCAUCUCUACAAGAAAUUUUAAAAAUUAGCCAAGUAAGGUGGUAUGCACCUGUAGUCUCUGCUAUUUUGGAGGCUGAGGCGGGAGGAUCACUUGAGCCCAGGAGGUUGAGACUACGGUGAGCCAGUGUCAUGCCACUGCACUCUAGCCUGGGCAACAGAGUCCCUGUCUCAAAUAAAUAAAUAAGAAGAAAAACAGGUGUUAAAUGAAUAACUACAUAAGCAGAAUAUUGGUGUGGAAUAGAAUUGGGAUUGGGGUGAGCAGAGAAAUCAGAGAAAUGGUAUUUCAGCCAUCAAUUAAAGGACAGGAGCCAUAGCUGCACACCAUGUUCAUCUCUUUAUGUAGUUUGGCGUAAUAAUUAUAUAUCUAUAUCUGUAUAGUCUCUGCCCCUAGUUCCUGGCGGAGUGUCUAAAACCCUUGUAAUGUCCUGAGUGAUGGGGGCGUGCUAGGUGCAUCAUUUGUUCUAGUAUUUGGUCUUUGACCCCAGUUCUUGACACAGAGUUCCCAAUUUCUUGGAAAUUUCUGGGUGAUAGGCAUAUCUUUUAUUUUAGUAUUUGGUCUUUGACCCCAGUUCGUGACAUAGAGCUCCUAAUCCCUUGGAAUUUCCUGGGUGAUAAGCACAUCUUUUUUCCUAGUGUUUGGUCUUUGACCCCAGUUCCUGAUGCAGAGCUCCUAAAUCCCUUGGAAUUUCCUGGGUGAUGGGAGCAUCUUUUAUUCUAAUGAGGUGACUCUCCUGAAUGGGGGCUGGUCACCGGAAAGACCAAGCCGUGACUAGAAGCUUGAAACUUUCAGCCCCACCUCCCAUCCUUUGGGAGAGUAAAGGGGCUGGAGAUUGAGUUAAUAAUCCAUCAUGCCUAAGUGAUGAAGCCUCCAUAAAAGUCCCUGUACUGGGGGGUGCAUAGAGCUCCCCAGUUGGUAAACACAUCUGUGUGCUGGGAGGAUGGUAUACCCCAGCUCCCUGGGAACAGAAGCUCUUCCGCUUGCGAUCUUUCCAGACCUCACCCCAUGUAUCUUUUUAUCCAGCUGAUCUUCCAUACCCUUUUUCAUAUCCUUUAUUAUGAAAUAAAUCAGUAAACAUAAGUAAAUGUUAUCCCAAGUUCUGUGAGUCAUCCUUGAAAAUUAUUGAACCCGAGGAGGAGGGAACUCUGAUUUAUAGCCAGUUGGUCAAAAGUACAGAUGACAACCUCCCGGAAUCUGCAAUUGGCAUCUAAGGUAUGGGACUAGGGGCCAGGUGCAGUGGCUCACGCCUGCAAUCCCAGCACAUUGGGAGGUCAGGGCGGGAGGAUCACUUGAGACCAAGAGUUCGAGUCUGCAGUGAGCUAUGAUCAUGCCACUGCACUGAGCCUGGGUGACAGAGUGAGACUCCAUCCCAAAAAAUAAAAUAAAAUAGAAAUAAAUGAAAAUAAAUAAGUAAAGUG